ACCUCGUUGUGGGCUGCUGCCCAUGUCCACAAGCAGACCCUCGCCGCCGCCCCCGCCGCCUCCGCCGGCGGCGGCGAUUUGUGAAUGUCUCUCGCGGAGGAGGAAGGGGAUCCGCCGCCGCCACAGCCUUCAAUGCGAGCGCCGCCUGCAGCCGCUCGCCGUCCGCGGCAGCACCUCUGGUGGCGAUGGCGAUGGCCGGCGAUGUCCGGCGGCUCCGCAUCGAAGAAGAGGAAGGCCCGGAGGACGCGGAGGCCGGACCCGGACCCGACGGCGCCGCUCACCGACGACCUGCUCAUCGAGAUCCUCGCGCUCGCGCCGUACCGGUCCCUCCGCCGCUGCCUGUGCGUCUGCCAGCGCCGUACCGCUCCCCCCAGACCCUCGCCGGCGUCAUCUACCUCUUACCCUUCGACCCCGACGCUGUGGUCCUCAAAGAACAUUAAUGUCUUAUGACAUGGAUAGCCAGAAAGUGUCUACCAUCCGUAAUCUUGGACGAUACAGUGAAAUUGAGCAUUUUCUUCCAUAUGUUCCCUUGCUUUCAAAAUCAUUGCCAGAUUGUGGGAACCAGUAAUCUGACUCUCAGCACAGCUCAACCUUUGCCGAUGGUUCUGAUCAUAUGGUAGUAUGUUCUUCAGUUGUAGAAGCAGCAGCAGCAGCUACUAGUCCUGCACAUCUUUCUGAUGUUGUUAUACUUUUGGUUAGUGCAUGAGUACACUCAUCUGCCCUCACUUUGUAUGGGGCUAGCUGCUUCAGUUUAACUCAUGUGAUGCUAUAGUAAAUAUGGGCUAAUCAUGGAAUAAUUAGGACUAAUAGAUUCUACUCGUCAUAUAGCCCUGACUUGCUCAAAGUUUCCAAUUAGCCCAUAUUUAGUCCACUUAAUUGGAGUCCAAACAUAGAGAUAAAUUUUAGCUCUAGGGAUCCAAACGUCCCCUUAGUAAUUAUAUGUGUAUGAGGUGGCACUCGCAAACAAUUUUUAGUACUUGACUACUAUAUGAUAUGCAUGCUCUCCAGCUUGCCUUUUUCCCUUCUUGGUACUCUGUCUUGGGUGAGUCAUUAUGCACUCAAAUAUAAUUCCUCCUCCGUUUUUGUUUCUCUAGUUUUUGAGCAUUGUGGUACUCCGAACUCCGUCUUGAAUAUUUUUAUCUCCUUGGCUAUGCUAGUGGAUGUUUUACUGGUGUAGGAUUUUAUGUUUCUUUGCUGAAAUGAUAUAAUACUUCUGAAGAAUAGCUUAUUUUAUUUUAUAUAUCUCUGUUAGUUAUAUUCUAUUACUUGCUGUCAAGUAUAUGUAUAGAAUAUAGUACACACAACUUAACCCAAGUUGUGCCCAUUUGGGCUAGAUGAAAUAUCUGAUAUUCACCUCUUUAUUAAGGGAUGACUUCUCAAUGUAAGGAGUUUGAUGAUAGAUGUUUUUACUAUUUUAUAAAACAUACUAGAUAGCACUGUAGAAUAUGUGGCCGACUGGCCAGUACCCAUUAUCUCUUUCUAUUUUUCUUUUGGUGAGGUAUCAACCAAUUGUUCUCUCUACUACACUCUUCAUCAGUAGUCUUUGUAAUAACUCAGUUGCGUUAUGUAAAUUAGCAUUUUUGUAAUGUGGGAGUGUCAAAAUCACUCUCUUAAACUAAUAUCCUCAGUCAACUUUUACUCAAAAUCUAAUUAUUGUUCUUUCGUGAGGAAAAGAAUAGGAAAGUCUGAAAAUUGAGAAUUUUGUAUCACCUGCAAUUGCUAAGUAGAGGAGAAUGCUUUAUCCUUUUUUUUCUUAGUAUCAAACUCACUUUGAUGUGUGGAAUAGGUCACCUGGACACUUUAAAGUGUGUGACAUGGGUUUUACUUGUUUAUUAGUUUGGUGGCCAGAUUGGAUAAAAGCGCAUAUUAUAUGAGAACUGCUAGUUAGAAAACGAUGGUUAAUGUGUGCUUCCGAAUUUGCUCUGUUUCGAUUUAUGACAGCAGCAGAAAAUCUUCUAUAUGUCGUGGCAUGUGAAUGCAGAGAUAAUUUUCUUUUUGCGUGCUUUUGUACUUUUUUUUAUAAUCACUUGCCUUUGUACCUGAAGAUAAAACAUCUCAGUAAAAUCAAUCUCAGUCUCUCUUUUUUUUUUAAAAAAAAAACAAUCUCAGUAGCUUCUGGCCCAAACGACCGAAACGCUCCUCCCUACAGUCCAGUAAAAGGCCCAAACCUCCUGCGGCCGUCGCCACCAGCAGCAGCACCUAUUAUUCGGGUGCUGUUUAUUUGCUGAAAGGAUCUAUACUGCUGAAGAAUAGAUUAUCUUUAUUUUUCUAUCACUUGUUAGUUAUAUUCUAUUAUUUGCGCUGUCAAGUAUCUGGAGAACGUAGUACAAAGAAAUUUAAUACCCAAGUUGUGCCCAUUCACUACUGCAAAAAAAAGACUUUUAAGGGUAGGUAAAAAAACGUAUUUUUAGGGGUGUGUUGCGCUAUGACCCGCCCCUACAAAUUUAUGUCCAAAAAAUAAAAAAGGUUCCCAAAAAAAAUCAAAAAUAGCAAAAUAAAAAAGAAAAAUAUUCUAGCCAACCAACCAUCACCACUAGCCCUAUAGUGUCAAGCUAUAAUUUUUUUGAUGAAAUAUACACACACUUGCAUUACUUGGGAUUCGAUCGGCUUACUUCAAGGUUUGUGUGUACCUUCGUUACCAUCACAGCUAAGUAAAAUAUAGGACGCUGUGUCUUUUUUGCUAACUUAGUAUAUAGGACGCGAUAGGAAUUUCAGCAUUUGUUGAAAGUGCAAAACGGUUUGUUGGUUUGCUAGGACCUUUCAUCGCUGAUGUAUGUAGUGUUUCUUGGCUGAGAUUAUUUUACUAGGUGACAUCUAUCUUCAAUAAAAAACCAGCCGCACCUGCAGGUAUCUUUUGAGCUGUAACGUAACAAUAGAACUCAAUUCGCCCAUAUGAGUUGUGAUCCAUGUGGAAACUCCAAUGUGAUCCUAUAGUAUAUACUGUGAUCCUCCAUCUAUAGUGUCCAAACAAGACACAUUCUGCAUAAUAUAUACAACAGUAUUAUCGAGUGUAACAACAAUUAAUCGAAUUAGGCUUGCUUUAAUUCCUCCGAACAUUAUUAUCGUCUCAUUGCACACGUCCGUCCUGCUUUGUUUGAUUCUCCGAACAUUCUUGUAAUUAGCUAGCCUCUGUGAUUUAUUUAAUUAUUACAACUUCUCCUGCUGCUACUUCCCCAUGUCUAUAUAUUGCAACUAAGCUUCUCUUCGAUCGAUCACUCAUUCAGCCAUCUGCUCUCUUGCUCAUUCCUAGCUCCAACGUACUACCUUGCAGCAAAAAGCUAAGCAUCAAAUGGCGCCGUCACCAAGGAAUAAUCUCUCUGCCACCACCGCUGUGAUCUUCCUUCUACUCGUCGUCAUUAUGACCGCCGAGAUGGGGUCGGUUGGGGCAGACACCUGCAGGCACCUGAGCGGCAACUAUCAUGGGCUGUGCGACACCUCCUACACCCCCUGCGAAGACACAUGCAAAGCCGAAAGCAAAGACAACACUGGCGGCGCUUGCUUCGACUCCCCGCCUCGUUGCUACUGCUUCACCAACUGCUAGAUCCAUCCCAUCCCUGCUCGGCCUCCCAUCCAUGUAAUAGCAAAAUAUAAAUAAAAUUGUUGGAACUGUGGACCCAACAUCUUACAUAUGUAACCACAUACUGCUCCAUAAUAACCACAAAUUAAACACUCCCGGUGAUGGCGUGGGUUUUGUACUCUCUUUAAUUUCCUUUCCAUCGUAAUAAAAGCUUGGGAGACAUUACAAUCGA